GCUUAUGGCCAUACCACCCUGUCUGCGCCUGAUCUCGUCUGAUCUCGGAAGCUAAAUAGGGUCGGGCCUUGUUAGUACUUGGAUGGGAGACUGCCUGGUAAUACCAGGUGCUGUAAGCU
rnacentral:rRNA from 1 species